rnacentral:tRNA from 1 species
GGCUGUGGCUCAGUGGUAGAGCACUUGCCUGGUAUGCACAAGACCCUGGGUUUGAUGCCCAGAACCA